UGCCUAACACAUGCAAGUCGAACGCGAAAGGGGGCAACCCUGAGUAGAGUGGCGACCGGGUGAGUAACACGUGAAUAAUCUACCUUUGGGUGGGGAAUAACUUUCCGAAAGGGAAGCUAAUACCGCAUAAAAUCUAGUGGGGGUAGCUCUAUUAGAUCAAAGAGGGGGAUCGCAAGACCUCUCGCCAGAAGAGGAGUUCGCGGCUGAUUAGCUAGUUGGCGGGGUAAAGGCCCACCAAGGCAACGAUCAGUAGCCGGCCUGAGAGGGCGGUCGGCCACUCUGGCACUGAAAUACGGGCCAGACUCCUACGGGAGGCAGCAGUGGGGAAUUUUGGGCAAUGGCCGAAAGGCUGACCCUUCAACGCCGCGUGAAGGAUGAAAUUUUUCGGAAUGUCUCUUC
rnacentral:rRNA from 1 species